rnacentral:rRNA from 1 species
CACGCCGUAAACGAUGAAUACUAGGUGUAGGGGUUGUCAUGACCUCUGUGCCGCCGCUAACGCAUUAAGUAUUCCGCCUGGGGAGUACGGUCGCAAGAUUAAAACUCAAAGGAAUUGACGGGGGCCCGCACAAGCAGCGGAGCAUGUGGUUUAAUUCGAAGCAACGCGAAGAACCUUACCUAGACUUGACAUCUCCUGCAUUACUCUUAAUCGAGGAAGUCUCUUCGGAGACAGGAUGACAGGUGG